GGCCCAGUAGCGCAGUUGGUUAGCGUGCCGCCCUGUCACGGCGGAGGUCGCGGGUUCGAGUCCCGUCUGGGUCG
rnacentral:tRNA from 8 species